rnacentral:rRNA from 1 species
CCUACGGGGGGCAGCAGUAGGGAAUCUUCCGCAAUGGGCGAAAGCCUGACGGAGCAACGCCGCGUGAGUGAAGAAGGAUUUCGGUUCGUAAAGCUCUGUUGUUAGGGAAGAAUGAUUGUGUAGUAACUAUACACAGUAGAGACGGUACCUAACCAGAAAGCCACGGCUAACUACGUGCCAGCAGCCGCGGUAAUACGUAGGUGGCAAGCGUUGUCCGGAAUUAUUGGGCGUAAAGCGCGCGCAGGUGGUUUAAUAAGUCUGAUGUGAAAGCCCACGGCUCAACCGUGGAGGGUCAUUGGAAACUGUUAAACUUGAGUGCAGGAGAGAAAAGUGGAAUUCCUAGUGUAGCGGUGAAAUGCGUAGAGAUUAGGAGGAACACCAGUGGCGAAGGCGGCUUUUUGGCCUGUAACUGACACUGAGGCGCGAAAGCGUGGGGAGCAAACAGGAUUAGAUACCCUUGUAGUC